rnacentral:rRNA from 1 species
UUGACCUCAAAUCAGGUAGACUUCCCCGUU